rnacentral:lncRNA from 1 species
GCAGGUUACAUGUUCGAAUUGACUUGCUAGUAGCAUCUCACCUCCUUGAGUGAAGGAACGUCUUCUUGAAGGACAACUUAAAAGCCUACUCAGAGUAUCAAGAUUCAGUGGGUAGAGCAUCAGCAUUCUUCUGCUGUCCUUGACAUAGCAUGAAAGACUUUCUAGGUUGGAAUCGGGAGGUAGUAAUCCUACAACCAGUGAUUCUUACGGUGACCGGGCUUCAGCAAGAGCCCGUCGGGAGGCCCGGGAGGCCCGCCUAGCCACCCUGACCAGCCGUGUAGAAGAAGACAGCAACAGAGAUUAUAAAAAACUCUAUGAGAGUGCUCUGACUGAAAACCAAAAACUGA